rnacentral:rRNA from 1 species
UACGUAGGUGGCAAGCGUUAUCCGGAAUCAUUGGGCGUAAAGCGCGCGUAGGCGGCCUCGUAAGUCCGUUGUGAAAGUCAAAGGCUCAACCUUUGAAAGCCGAUGGAUACUGUGAGGCUAGAGUCCGGAAGAGGCGAGUGGAAUUCCUGGUGUAGCGGUGGAAUGCGCAGAUAUCAGGAGGAACACCAAUAGCGAAGGCAGCUCGCUGGGACGGUACUGACGCUAAGGCGCGAAAGCGUGGGGAGCGAACAGG